UACAGAGGUCCCAAGCGUUGUUCGGAUUCAUUGGGCGUAAAGGGUGCGUAGGUGGCGCCGUAAGUCGGGUGUGAAAUUUCGGAGCUUAACUCCGAAACUGCAUUCGAUACUGCGGUGCUUGAGGACUGGAGAGGAGACUGGAAUUCAUGGUGUAGCAGUGAAAUGCGUAGAUAUCGAGAGGAACACCUGUGGCGAAGGCGGGUCUCUAGACAGUUCCUGACGCUGAGGCACGAAAGCCAGGGUAGCAAACGGG
rnacentral:rRNA from 1 species